AUGCUCACUUCAGCAGCACAUAUACUAAAACUGGAAUGAUACAGAGAAGAUGAGCAUGGCCCCUGCACGGGGAAGACAGACAAUAUGUGAAGCAUUCCAUUUAAAA